AGUUCUUCCCUUCUCUCCCCAACCUCUUUCUUUAAUACUGCCACAAUUUUUUCCUAUGUGUCUGAUAUCUUUAUAGUUAUAUAUCCCGUUUAUAUUAAGUGCCGUGGGAGUCUUUCCUUUUCUUGUCUUCCUUCCUCCUCUCCUCGUUCCCCCCACCCCCCACCUCUCUCUCUCUCCUCCCCCUACCUAUCGUUUUCUCUCAGAACAACAUGAAGGUGGAGUUGGAUGCGAUAUCUAGUAAGAUACUUCCCCUUGGGGUAUCAUUUUGGCUUCAACAGUUGCUCAAGGGUUUACAUGGGCCCUUUCAGUGAUCUCUCUUGAGCUCUCCACAAGAAAUUCACCUCAAAAGUAUGGGAUUUCGGUGAGGAAUUCAUCGGUCAAUGGCAUACAUGGGAAAGCCAGGCAAUUUUCUUUGCUCCUACUACACCUUGUUUCAUCUUUCUUCUUACUUCGCUUUUGUUAAGAGAUAUGGGUUAGCAAGGAAUUGAUGUUACAGAGCAAUAUGUACAAUUCUGCCUAUAGAAAAUUAGAGGCAGAUUGAAAGAAAUGUAACAAGAUUUGACUGGUUUCCCUUGUCUCUGUUUGAUGUUUUAUAUUUCCUUCUGGCUGUGCAUUGUAGUUGGUGGAGCUGGAAGAAGGCUUAUAUAGUCUUUUUUUUUUUUGGUAGCUAGAAAGGAAGAAGGCUUAUAUAGUCUUUACAGGCAACAUUUUCAAGCACUCAGACAAAAUAUAAGCAUGAAUACUGGAAAUAUCAUAAAAACUUUUCACCUACACUUUCUCCUUUUUUGGAAAAUAUUGUAUACAUGUAUGUCUGUUUGUCUGUAAAUGUAUACAUAUAUGUAUGUAUGUUCAUAAAUAUUUUGUUUGCUUUCAUGUAGUUAAACAAUAA
rnacentral:lncRNA from 1 species